rnacentral:lncRNA from 1 species
AUUAAUGGCAAACGGUUGUGAAUAAAAAAAAAAUUAAACAAAUUUAAACUUUUUAUAGACAAAAUACUAAAUGUUAAAGCUUUUUUCGUUAUUUUGCUUUCAGAAAGGGAGGCUACAGACUUCGGAUUACAGAUUUCAAAAAAAAUUUAUAUGAUGUUACUUCAUUGGAAAAUAUUAGAUACGUGUUUUAUUGUAAUCGUUGUUGAAAUAUACCGAAAGAAGACAAAUUCAUCUUUGCACCGAUUAACCGAGGUCGAGACUCACUUUAUUUCAUAGUUAACCUGGAAAAUAAUUGUACAACCCCUUGUAAAUUUGGUCUUGUCACUUUUGUAAUAGGGGAAAGGUAAAUCUGCAAUAACGGUCUGAUAUUACGUCAAAUAUUACGUUUACACACAGUCACAAGUUUGCACAGGUCUUAAAGGCAAGCUUUCGUGCGAUCGGGUGCUGUGAAGAAGGGCGAAGAAUUUCUUAUUUUAAAAAAAUAAUAGAGGCCCACUUAUCUAGGAAAGGAUGAAAGACUAGAUUGCACCGCCUGGACAAGGGUGGGUGUGACUUGCGUGCUCGGGGGCAGCGGGGGUGGAAAACUGCACCCUCCUCACAGUCUCUUCCUGGAACCCGCUGCUUCCCAAUUCGCUUCUUUAGGUGAAAAGUACACGUGGCAUUUCACGUGUUCGGAAGUGGUGUUGUGAUAAAACCCUGUGACGGCGCUGUCUUCUCUACCGAAACCUGUCUCUAAGGUAAACAUAAUCUCACAAUUAAAGCAGUUUCUGCAUAUGCUUAAAAGCGAAGCAUAAAACAACAAAGCACAUUCCAUAAAUA